CUGAUUACCCAUUUACACUCCUAUACUUUAAGAUAAGAGAUCCUGCAUACAUCAACUAAUUUGCAUUAAUCGAUCAUCAAACACAUACACAGAGCCUGCCAUGGCUUCCGCUUGUGCUUCCUCUGCCAUUGCAGCUAUUGCCAUCUCUACGCCGAGGCAAGUUAACUAGUUUGCUCCAGUAAUGUUUCAUAUAUUCAUUGAUCCAAUUAAUUUGAUAAAAAAAAAUAAAUAGUGAAUGUAUGUUUACGGUUCCCAGAAGAAUGGAUGAGGCUUGGGAAGAGCAAAAGGUUGUUUUGUUAGUGGGAGGAAGAGAGCAGUUGGAGGACGAUGGAUGGGCACUAGAGUGUGUGCAGUUGCUGAGCCUGACAGGCCUCUCUGGUCCUCCAUGGCUGGAGAGCUGGAAUACUUCACAGACACCACUAGCCUCUUUUUCAUAGGCUUUCACCCCUAAGUGAAAUUAAAGGCUUAGAUCGAUCCACAACUAAUGGAUAUGAGAUUGCCAGCUGUUUGACCCAAUUUAUAGAGCGAAAUCGUCUUAGGAGAUGAGUGUUUAUGUCUGUAAUAUGAUCUAUAUGGUAAUCCAACGUGCCGACAUCUAUUUAAAUUUUAGAUGCCAUGAAUGUAAGUUCAGGUAAUAAUCACAUUUGUUCAUAUAUAAGAUCAUAACCCACGUUGAAUGGUAUAUUUCAUCAUUCACGGCAAAA